ACCAGGAUCCCCAGAGGAGAAAACACCUCGGCAGACGCCUUGGCAGCUCUUGCUUCUAAAACCUCUUUUAGGAGAAAAUGGGUAUAAGUGUUGUCUAAAUACUCCUAAUUCAUCUCUAACUCUUAUAAUUAGUCAAAGGCUUUGGAUUGUGACACAUUUUAACCAUAGAAACAAUAACAAAGCUAUUUACUGUUUCUAAGCAAUUUUUUGUUCGUUUUAGCCUCUUUUGGGAGAAAAUGGGUAUAAGUGUUGUCUAAACACUCCUAAUCCAUCUUUAACUCUUACAAUUAGUCAAAUGCAUUGGAUUGGGACAUAUUUUGAUCAUAGAAACACUAACAUAUAUAUUGACUGCUUCUAUGCAAUUUUUUGUUGGUUUUAGCCCCUUUUGGGAGAAAAUUGGUAUAAGUGUUGUCUAAUAACUCCUAAUCCAUCUUUAACUCUUAUAAUUAGUCAAAUGCAUUGGAUUGUGACACAUUUUGACCAUAAAAC
rnacentral:sRNA from 1 species